AAGGGCACCACAAGAACGCGUGGAGCAUGUGGCUUAAUUUGACUCAACGCGGGAAAUCUUACCGGGUCCGGACACACUGAGGAUUGACAGGUAUUAUUGUAUAUUCACUUACAUAUUCUUAAUAAUAUGUCUAGUGGUAUACAUGUUAAAUAUGCUAGUCCUUUCAUGAUUAUGUGAUAGGUGGUGCAUGGCCGUUCUUAGUUCGUGGAGUGAUCUGUCUGCUUAAUUGCGUUUCACUAAGGGCCUAUAAAUUUACGUAUGUUGCGGCGCUUUGACCCCUCUUAAUUGAGCGCGUGUCUUUGUCUGCUUAGCUCAUACAAUUAGGUCCUGAAAGCAACGAACGUGACCGCAACCUCUUGUUGCCUUUAUACCAAACACGUUGCAGUAAUAUUUUUCAUUACCUUGCUUCGUGCAAAAAGGCCUUUUAAACUAGAGGGACCGCUGUUACUUUCUUAAACCAGAGGAAGGUUGCGGCAAUAACAGGUCUGUGAUGCCCUUAGAUGUUCCGGGCUGCACACGUGCUACAAUGAUUAUUGCAGUGAGCAUCUCAUUUAUACACACCGCAUGCGCGAGUCUAUUUAUUCACCAUUUGUGUGCUUUAAAUAUGUAUCUCUGCGCGCGGUAAAGCCUGCUUCGAAAGUAAGUGGGUAAUCAAUUAGAAGUAAUGAUUUCCUUUUAUAGCACACAUAUAUACGGCAUCUUUACCCGGCUUACCUUGUUGUAAGUUUCUUGUGUGUAUUGAUGUUUUUUCCGUAUGUGCGAUUGUCAAUUCAUGGUGGGGACAGACCAUUGUUAAUUGUUGGUCUCGGUCUUAACUAGGAAUGCCUUGUACGGGUCUUUGGUUCAACAAACCACCCGGAAUACGUCCCUGCCCUUUGUACACACCGCCCGUCGCUCUUACCGAUGGACUUCUCUGUGAGUUUGAGGGACUGGGAACGCAUACCUCUUGUAUGCACACCUAUGGAAACUUAAACGAACAGUGUGGUCUAAAGGAAAGAGAAGUCGUAACAAGGCAUCGGUAGGUGAACCU
rnacentral:rRNA from 1 species